rnacentral:rRNA from 1 species
AAACUUGAGAGUUUGAUCAUGGCUCAGAACGUACGCUGGCGGCACGCCUAACACAUGCAAGUCGAACGAAGUAGCAAUACUUAGUGGCAGACGGGUGAGUAACAUGUAGGUAUCUGCCCUUUGGCCUGGAAUAACACGAGGAAACUUGUGCUAAUACCGGAUAAGUCUUUACGGAGAAAGCUUUAUGCACCAUUGGAUGAGCCUGCACUUGAUUAGUUUGUUGGUGGGGUAAUGGCCUACCAAGACUGUGAUCAAUAGCUGAUUUGAGAGGAUGAUCAGCCACAUUGGGACUGAGACACGGCCCAAACUCCUACGGGAGGCAGCAGUGGGGAAUCUUGCACAAUGGAGGAAACUCUGAUGCAGCGAUGCCGCGUGAGUGAAGAAGGCCUUUGGGUUGUAAAGCUCUUUCGUCGGGGAAGAAAAUGACUGUACCCGAAUAAGAAGGUCCGGCUAACUUCGUGCCAGCAGCCGCGGUAAUACGAAGGGACCUAGCGUAGUUCGGAAUUACUGGGCUUAAAGAGUUCGUAGGUGGUUGAAAAAGUUAGUGGUGAAAUCCCAGAGCUUAACUCUGGAACUGCCAUUAAAACUUUUCAGCUAGAGUAUGAUAGAGGAAAGCAGAAUUUCUAGUGUAGAGGUGAAAUUCGUAGAUAUUAGAAAGAAUACCGAUUGCGAAGGCAGCUUUCUGGAUCAUUACUGACACUGAGGAACGAAAGCAUGGGUAGCGAAGAGGAUUAGAUACCCUCGUAGUCCAUGCCGUAAACGAUGUGUGUUAGACGUUGGAAAUUUAUUUUCAGUGUCGCAGGGAAACCGAUAAACACACCGCCUGGGGAGUACGACCGCAAGGUUAAAACUCAAAUGAAUUGACGGGGACCCGCACAAGUAGUGGAGCAUGUGGUUUAAUUCGAAGAUACGCGCAGAACCUUACCAACACUUGACAUGUUCGUCGCGACUCUAAGAGAUUAGAGUUUUCGGUUCGGCCGGACGAAACACAGGUGCUGCAUGGCUGUCGUCAGCUCGUGUCGUGAGAUGUUGGGUUAAGUCCCGCAACGAGCGCAACCCUCACUUUUAGUUGCCAUCAUUAAGUUGGGCACUCUGAAAGAACUGCCAGUGAUAAGCUGGAGGAAGGUGGGGAUGACGUCAAGUCCUCAUGGCCCUUACGUGUUGGGCUACACACGUGCUACAAUGGUAUCUACAACAGGAAGCAAAACUGCGAAGUUAAGCAAAUCCCUAAAAGAUACCUCAGUUCGGAUUGCACUCUGCAACUCGAGUGCAUGAAGCUGGAAUUACUAGUAAUCGUGGAUCAGCGUGCCACGGUGAAUGCGUUCCCGGGUCUUGUACACACCGCCCGUCACACCAUGGGAGUUGGUUCUACCUUAAGGCAAGGUUUUAAACCCUUGACCACGGUAUAGUCAGCGACUGGGGUGAAGUCGUAACAAGGUAGCCGUAGGGGAACCUGCGGCUGGAUUACCUCCUUU